rnacentral:rRNA from 1 species
AACGAACGCUGGCGGUAUGCCUAACACUUGCAAGUCGAACGAGACCUUCGGGUCUAGUGGCGCACGGGUGCGUAACGCGUGGGAACCUGCCCUUAGGUUCGGAAUAACUCCCCGAAAGGGGUGCUAAUACCGGAUAAUGUCUUCGGACCAAAGAUUUAUCGCCUUUGGAUGGGCCCGCGUUGGAUUAGCUAGUUGGUAGGGUAAAAGCCUACCAAGGCGACGAUCCAUAGCUGGUCUGAGAGGAUGAUCAGCCACACUGGGACUGAGACACGGCCCAGACUCCUACGGGAGGCAGCAGUGGGGAAUAUUGGACAAUGGGCGAAAGCCUGAUCCAGCAAUGCCGCGUGAGUGAUGAAGGCCUUAGGGUUGUAAAGCUCUUUUACCCGGGAUGAUAAUGACAGUACCGGGAGAAUAAGCUCCGGCUAACUCCGUG